rnacentral:rRNA from 1 species
AACGAACGCUGGCGGCAUGCCUAACACAUGCAAGUCGAACGAGACCUUCGGGUCUAGUGGCGCACGGGUGCGUAACGCGUGGGAACCUGCCCUUAGGUUCGGAAUAACUCCCCGAAAGGUGUGCUAAUACCGGAUAAUGUCUUCGGACCAAAGAUUUAUCGCCUUUGGAUGGGCCCGCGUUGGAUUAGCUAGUUGGUAGGGUAAAAGCCUACCAAGGCGACGAUCCAUAGCUGGUCUGAGAGGAUGAUCAGCCACACUGGGACUGAGACACGGCCCAGACUCCUACGGGAGGCAGCAGUGGGGAAUAUUGGACAAGGGGCGAAAGCCUGAUCAAGCAAUGCGGCGUGAGUGAUGAAGGCCUUAGGGUUGUAAAGCUCUUUUACCCGGGAUGAUAAUGACAGUACCGGGAGAAUAAGCUCCGGCUAACUCCGUG